GCAAGUUUGGUCUGUUUAGCGAUAGCUGCAGUUCCUUCGCGUUUAUAUUUUUUUUCUUUUACUCCUUCCGGGGUUGACGAAAUAAUAUAUUGAACCUUGGACCGCUUAUCACGCUUUUAACAAGUGCAGAGAAUACGCUCAAAUUAUAAUUUAAAUGUAGAUGGAGGAUCAGCCAAACUUGACGAUGGUCAAGUUGCAAAAAGCAACUUUAAAUACAAGCUUUUAUUUUGUUGUUGUGGGGAGUAAUCUGUUCCCUUAUUGACUAUGCAAUCAAAGCCAUCUCAAGUUCUCACGCUAUCGCUACAGCGCUAAUCAAAGAAACUCAAAUCUCAACACCGCAGCGGAAAGAGAAAAAGACGAGGCGCGUUCUCGCAGCAAAGCUGGUGCCACGGCACCCCGACAUGUUUACCGGCGGCUGCCGGCUACUCGGCGCCGUGGUGCAGUUUCUACAGCUAAAUUUCACGUAAAAUGCAGACCCGCGUAAGGGGUGCGCUGCUUAUGUUGGUAAACAACGACACAAUCGCUGUGAUUGCCUUCAUUCUGGCAACAGUAUUAAUCGUCCUGAGAAGAUCCCUUCGCAAGAUGGUGAUCUUGUGCAUCAUCUUCCCAAGUAUGCCGAUGCUGACUCUGGUUGCCAUCAACAGUCUUCGUCCUGGGGCCGAAUUGCUGACGAGUUUGAUGGUGAUUUCAACCAUCAGCUACUUCCGACGCAAACUGUUCUACAACUAGAAGAAAGCCGCAUAAAAAUGCCGACGUUUAUUUACUAUUUACAAGACAUGCAGUUAGAAGAAAAAAAAUACUGCACAAACAAUACAUAUUGUCAAAAUUAACAGAAAUGAACACUUAUGCUACUUAAAAGAUCUCAACGUGGUUCAUUGUCUUUUUGUACAGGUUACACAAACAAAAACAA